UGAGCUCCCAGGGGAAGGACUGGCAUGCGGCAUGUCUGAAGUGUGGAAAAUGCAACCAGGAUCUGGCAGGCAGCGUGCAUGCAGAGCAAAAUGGAACACCUUAUUGCCCUCCCUGCUACUCAGAACUCUUUGGAUCCAACUAACCACAAGAAGCAGGAUGGACAUUCAGCGAGGGACAGAACACAACACUCAAGUCACC